CAGCUUCCUGUUGACAGUCAACAAGGGAAAAGAGACAGGAAAAGAUGGAGACAUUCCAGAGUGCAUCAGACAAGUCCAGUAUAUAAGAGAAGUGUAGAUCCCGUUAAGUCCAUGAAGUGGAGUGCAGGAGUAAUCCAAGGAGCAUCUUCACCCAGCACAGACUAGUCUCCUCCUGCACUACAGGCCGUACCUCACCUAGCGCGAUGUGCUUCACUUACUGACGUCGGAUGCAGUGCAGAGCAUCUCUCCCUGCGCUGUCAACGAUAUCAGGAGAAGGAAGGAUCAAGUAUGUGGCUGAUCUUUGUUUCCCUGAUCCCCACUGAAAAUAUAUGCCUGUGCAUCUAUAUGGAAGGUUAGAAGCAAUUUG